rnacentral:rRNA from 1 species
AGGACGAACGCUGGCGGCGUGCUUAACACAUGCAAGUCGAGCGGAAAGGCCCUUCGGGGUACUCGAGCGGCGAACGGGUGAGUAACACGUGAGUAAUCCGCCCCUAGCUCUGGGAUAGCUCCGGGAAACCGGGAUUAAUACCGGAUACGACCACCUUAGACAUCUUUUGUGGUGGAAAGAAUUUCGGCUAUGGAUGAGCUCGCGGCCUAUCAGCUUGUGGUGGGGUAACGCCUACCAAGGCGACGACGGGUA